UAAGUAGUGGCAAGGCUGCUAGAUGGAUGGCUCGGCUUGGGCUGCGACGAAGGACGUGGCAAGCUGCGAAAAGGCUAGGGGAGAUGCAUGCAAUCUUUGAUCCUAGCAUCUCCGAAUACGAGAACGGGCUAUCCGAAGAGGAUAGCAUUCAGCUGCAAAAAGCAGCUGAAGGUCCACGCCGGGAAUUGAAACAUCUUAGUACCGGCAGGAAAAGAAAGCAAAAUGCGAUUCCCUGAGUAGCAGCGAGCGAAAGGGGAGGAAGGCAAACCGAAUCCUUUAGCGAAAGCUAAAGGAGAUGUGGAGUUGAGAGUGGGCAGGAGCACAGCUAAGCUGCCGAAGCCGAAGUUGCCUGGAAUGGCACACCAUAGAGGGUGAAAGUCCCGUAGGCGUAGGCAGUAUGCUGAUUUCCUGCUCCAAGAGUAGCGUAUCCUGGUUUGGAUGCGCGAAGGCGGCUCAACUAAGAGCCAACCUUAAAUAUGAGCCCAAGUCCGAUAGCGCACUAGUACCGUGAGGGAAUGCUGAAAAGAACCCUUGGCAGGGAGUGAAAAGACCUGAAAUCUAGCAGCCAUAGUGUGUUACAGCUCCCUUUUGGGAGUUGUAACGUCCGUUUUGAAGAACGGGCCAGGGAGUUAGGCUAAGUGGCGAGGUUAAGCCUCUUUUGAGGCGGAGCCGUAGCGAAAGCGAGUCUGCUUAUUCCAGCUUUAUGCUGGAAGAGGCAGAGCAUCCGAAAGGGUGUAAGUCACUUGGCCUAGACCAGAAACCAGGCGACCUACUCCUGGCCAGGGUGAAGCCUUCCUAACGGAAGGUGGAGGCCCGAACCAGUGUUGCGGGCAAGCACUUGGAUGAGCUGGGAGUAGGGGUGAAAAGCCAAUCUAGCCUGGCGAUGGCUGGUUCCUGCCGAAAUAUACCUCAGUAUAGUCUCUUGCUAGCUUGCUAGCGAGGUAGAGCUACGGAUUGGGCAUGCAGGCAGCUUUGCUGUCGGUGCCCUUUCCAACUCCGAAUGCGCUAGCAGCGUAGCAAGGGAAACAGGGCUGGGGGGUAAGCUUCCAGUCCGAGACCCGAACAAGGGAGACUGGGGUUAAGGUCCUUAAAUGCUGGCUAAGUGCAAAGCAAGGCAGUCCUGAUCCUGAGACAGCGGGGAGGUAGGCUUAGAAGCAGCCAUCCUUUAAAGAAAGCGUAACAGCUCACCCGUCGAGGAUCAGGGCGCCGAAAAUCGACGGGGCUAAGCCAGCUACCGAGACCCCAGCGUUCCUCGAAAGAGGAACGGGUAGGCAGGCGUGCUGCUUGGGCAGAAGCAUGCUUGUAAGAGCAUGUGGACCGAGCAGCAAUGAGAAUCCUGGCGCUAGUAGGAUCCUACUCAGGUGAGAACCCUGAGGGUCGGAAGGGCAAGGGUUCCUUGGCAAUAUCGAUUAGCCAAGGGUUAGCCGGUCCUAACCCUGCCCUUAACUGAGGCAGGGGAAGGGGAAGCAGGUUAAUAUUCCUGCGCUACUUAAGACCGUUGAAGCUGUUAGGGACGCUUCGGGAUAAGCAGAGUGUAUCUCGUAAGAGACAUCCCUUGCAAGAAGGCCAUGGAGUAUCGUAAUGAUGAGAAGUGGCUGAAUUGCAAGGGCGAAAGUCUGCUGAUUCCUGGAGCCAGUGAAAACCUAACAGCAGAGGUCUUAAGUAACCGUACCCAGAACCUGCACUAGUGCCCUCCCUGAGUAGGGGAAGACCUGAAAGUUUAAGGCUGGUAAGGGAAAUCGGCAAAUUGGCCUCGUAUCUUCGGUAGAAGAGGUGCCUAUGCUUGUGCCUUUGAUUCUUUUGAAUUGAAGGUGCAAGCGUAGGUCGCAGUGACAAGGGCGGCCCGACUGUUUAUUAAAAACGUAGCCAAGCGCAAAGCCGAAAGGCUUGGUACGCUUGGUGAGGCCUGCCCAGUGGUGGUGUUUGAAGGCUCCUUUCAAGGAGCUUAAGACCCACCAAACGGCGGGCCUAACCUUGAGGCUCUUAAGGUAGCGUAAUGCCUUGUCGUCUGAAUGGCGACGUGCAUGAAUGGCUUAACGAGGUCGCCACUGUCCCUACCAGCCAGCUUCCGAACGUCUCUUCCUGGUGAACAGGCCAGGGACGCCCAGUGGGAAGCGAAGACCUUGUGGACCUUUACUGCAGCCUGUUGUUGUGUUUUGCGAUUGGGUACAAAGAGUAGCUAGGAGGGAUGAAAUGAAGCUUCGGCGUAGUGGACCGAAAGUGUAACACUAGCUACCCUUUUGCAAAACACUCACUCGAAAGAGGACAGCAGCAGGUGGGCAGUUUGGCUGGGGCGGCACCCUCCCGAAAAGAUAUCGGGAGGGCCCAAAGGUGAGCUCAGCGUAGUUGGAAACUACGCGUAGAGUGCAGGGGCAAAAGCUCGCCUGACUGUGGCUCGAAAAGAAAGAGCCGCAGGCGCGAAAGCGUGGCCCAGCGAACCCUAAUGGCUCUUUAGUGGAGCCUUAGGAUGACAGAAAAGGUACCCCAAGGAUAACAGACUGGUCGCGCCCGAUAGUUCACAUUGACGGCGCGGUUUGGUACUCCGCUGUCGGCUCUCCCUAUCCUGGCUGUGCACAAGCAGCCAAGGGUGCCGGGGUUCACGCAUUAAAAGGGAUCGUGAGCUGGGUUGAGAACGUCGUGAGACAGUUUGGUUGAUAUCUACUGGGCGUGUUGUUGCCUGAGUGGAACCAAGCCGUAGUACGAGAGGAACCGGCUUGGGGGGCCUCUGGUCUAGCGGUUGUCCUAACAGGGCAGGCCGCGCAGCUACGCCCUGGUGGAUAAGGGCUGAAUGCAUCUAAGCCCGAAGCCACCCGCAAAAAGAGGCAACAAAGGCCGUCCAAGAAGAGGACGUUGAUAGGGCCGGGGUGUAAGUGCCGAGACGCAAGU
rnacentral:rRNA from 1 species